GGACAGUAUGGGAGUGAGAAUGUUGGCAUGAGUAGCGAGAUGUGGGUGAGAAUCCCACAGGCCGUAAACCCAAGGUUUCCAGGGGAAGGUUCGUCCGCCCUGGGUUAGUCGGGACCUAAGCUGAGGCCGACAGGCGUAGGUGAUGGACAACAGGUUGAUAUUCCUGUACUACCGAUAACCGUUUGAGAGAUGGGAUGACACAGUAGGAUAAGCUAAGCACACUGUUGGUUAUGUGUGCCCAAGCAUUGAGGCAGUCAGAGUAGGUAAAUCCGCU
rnacentral:rRNA from 1 species